AAUCCCCAACUAUUUAUUUUUUUUGCUCCAGAUCCCUAAAUGGCUCCCUCAAGGAUUGAACUCACAACCCUGCAUUUAGCAGGCCAAUGCUCAAACCACUGAGCUAUCCCUCCCUCCUAACAGCUGUAAACACCCAUCAGCCCCCAGCCUGCCUGCCAAUGAUCGUUGUCUCUAAACAGAGAACACCAAAAGGAUGUUUAUAAGCGGGACUGGUACCAGAGUUCUGGAGCCUACAGCCAUCCCUUGUUACAAAUACUCCAGCAGGGUCAAAUUCAAUCCAGCCCCAUGUCACUGAGGGGCUGGCUCAGAGAAUGGGAUUACAGGGAUUUUUACUUCGAAGAGACCCCCAGGUCGAAGAGGAUUGGCAGGCUCAGGGAAUGGGGCCUUCUGGACUUGGAUCAGACCACUGGGCCUGUGGACUCCAGUAAUCCAUCUACUCCAUUCCCAGUUCUGCAACUGGCCUCCUGAGUGCAAAUCACCUCACUGCUCCGUGCCUCAGUUUCCCCAUCAGUAAAAUGGACAUAACGAUCCUGACCUCCUUUGUAAAGCGUUUUGAGAUCUACUGAUGAAAAGCGCUAGUCACUUCCUCUGCAGGAUGGACUCAAGGCAGAAGGAAACCGUCUUUCAGUGGGCAACAGAAACAAGAGGACAAUGGAAAGAACAGCAGGAAAGCCUAGCUUCUCUCCCAAUUUUGAAAGGCACAUUAUAAAUAAAUCUCACCUGAUUGG